UACGGAGGGUGCAAGCGUUAAUCGGAAUUACUGGGCGUAAAGCGUCUGUAGGUGGCUUUUUAAGUUUGCCGUCAAAUCCCAGGGCUCAACCUGGGAACUGCAUUCAAAACUGACUGACUAGAGUAUGGUAGAGGGUGGUGGAAUUUCCUGUGUAGCGGUGAAAUGCGUAGAUAUAGGAAGGAACACCAGUGGCGAAGGCGACCACCUGGACUGAUACUGACACUGAGGUGCGAAAGCGUGGGGAGCAAACAGG
rnacentral:rRNA from 1 species